rnacentral:rRNA from 1 species
GUCUAUGGCCAUGCCACCCUGAACGUGCCUGAUCUCGUCUGAUCUCAGAAGCUAAGCAGUGUCGGGCCUGGUUAGUACUUGCAUAGGAGACCACCUAGGAAGACCAGGUGCUGUAGGCA